AAAUUGAAGAGUUUGAUCAUGGCUCAGAUUGAACGCUGGCGGCAGGCCUAACACAUGCAAGUCGAACGGUAACAGGAAGCAGCUUGCUGCUUUGCUGACGAGUGGCGGACGGGUGAGUAAUGUCUGGGAAACUGCCUGAUGGAGGGGGAUAACUACUGGAAACGGUAGCUAAUACCGCAUAAUGUCGCAAGACCAAAGAGGGGGACCUUCGGGCCUCUUGCCAUCGGAUGUGCCCA
rnacentral:rRNA from 1 species